AUUCUACUCCCUCCGUCCCAAAAUUCUUGUCUUAGAUUUGCCUAGAUACGGAUGUACCUAAUACUAAAACGUGACUUGAUACAUCCGUAUUUAGACAAAUCUAAGACAAGAAUUUUGGGACGGAGGGAGUAUAAA
rnacentral:pre_miRNA from 1 species